UACGUAGGGCGCAAGCGUUAUCCGGAAUUAUUGGGCGUAAAGAGCUCGUAGGCGGUUUGUCGCGUCUGCCGUGAAAGUCCGGGGCUCAACUCCGGAUCUGCGGUGGGUACGGGCAGACUAGAGUGAUGUAGGGGAGACUGGAAUUCCUGGUGUAGCGGUGAAAUGCGCAGAUAUCAGGAGGAACACCGAUGGCGAAGGCAGGUCUCUGGGCAUUAACUGACGCUAG
rnacentral:rRNA from 1 species